CUGGGACCCCCAUGAUUUUGGGGUAGCCCCCCAGGACUACCGUGACUUUGGGGUGCCACCUGAGACCACUGUGACUUUGGGGUAGCCCCCAAGGACCCCCAUGACUUUGGGGUAGCCCCCCAAAGACCAGCUUGACUUUAGGAUGCCCCCCAGGACCACCAUGGCUCCAGGGUUGUCCCCCAGGACCCCCAUGGCUCUGGGGUCCCCCCAGGCCCACCAUGACUUUGGGGUGCCCCCUGGUUCCACCAUGACUUUGCAGUGCCCCCAAGACCACCAUGGCUCCGGGGUAGCCCCCCAAAGACCCCUAUGACUUUGGGGUGACCCCCGGGACCACCAUGGGUCAGGGGUAGCCCUGAGGACCCCCAUGACUUUGGGGUGCCCCCCAGGACCCCCAUGGCUUCAGGGUUGCCCUGAGGACCACGGUGACUUUGGUAUGCCCCCCAGGACCACCUUGACUCUGGGGUAGCCCCCUGGGACCACUGUGACUUUGGGGUGACCCUGAGGACCCCCAUGACUCCACAGUGCCCCCCGAGGACCCUGAUGACUUUGGGGUAGCCCUUGGGACCACCAAUGGCUUUGGGAUGCCCCCCAGGACCACCAUGACUUCGGGGUGCCCCCGAUGACCCCCAAAUCUCCGGGGUGACCCCAUCACGGCCUUCCAGUACCACCACUAACCCCCCUCUCCCCCCCUGGCCCCCCCCCCCCCCCCCCCCCAGAGGUGCAGUUCCGCCCGUACCGCACGGACGACUUCAUCACGCGGCUGUACUACGAGACGCCGCGCCUGACGGUCCUCAACCAAACCUGGGUGCUGAAGGCGCGCGUCAACGACUCGGAGCGCAACCCCAACCUCUCCUGCAAGCGCACCCUGUCCUUCCAGCUCAUCCUCAAGAGCAAGGUCAACUCGCCGCUCGAGUGCUCCUUCCUCCUCCUCGAGGGGCCCUACGACGACGUCAAGAUCAAGCCGAUCCAGAAGUAGGCG
rnacentral:lncRNA from 1 species